rnacentral:rRNA from 1 species
AAUGAACGCUGGCGGCAUGCCUAACACAUGCAAGUCGAACGAGACCUUCGGGUCUAGUGGCGCACGGGUGCGUAACGCGUGGGAAUCUGCCCUUGGGUUCGGAAUAACAGUGGGAAACUACUGCUAAUACCGAAUGAUGUCGUAAGACCAAAGAUUUAUCGCCCAGGGAUGAGCCCGCGUAGGAUUAGCUAGUUGGUGUGGUAAAAGCGCACCAAGGCGACGAUCCUUAGCNGGUCUGAGAGGAUGAUCAGCCACACUGGGACUGAGACACGGCCCAGACUCCUACGGGAGGCAGCAGUGGGGAAUAUUGGACAAUGGGCGAAAGCCUGAUCCAGCAAUGCCGCGUGAGUGAUGAAGGCCUUAGGGUUGUAAAGCUCUUUUACCCGGGAUGAUAAUGACAGUACCGGGAGAAUAAGCUCCGGCUAACUCCGUGCCAGCCGCCGCUGUAAU